UGGGGAAUAUUGGACAAUGGGCGCAAGCCUGAUCCAGCCAUGCCGCGUGAGUGACGAAGGUCUUCGGAUUGUAAAGCUCUUUUAGCAGGGAAGAUAAUGACGGUACCUGCAGAAUAAGCCCCGGCUAACUUCGUGCCAGCAGCCGCGGUAAUACGAAGGGGGCUAGCGUUGUUCGGAAUUACUGGGCGUAAAGCGCACGUAGGCGGAUUGAUAAGUUAGAGGUGAAAUCCCGGGGCUCAACCUCGGAACUGCCUUUGAUACUGUUAGUCUCGAGUCCGAUAGAGGUGAGUGGAAUUCCUAGUGUAGAGGUGAAAUUCGUAGAUAUUAGGAAGAACACCAGUGGCGAAGGCGGCUCACUGGAUCGAUACUGACGCUGAGGUGCGAAAGCGUGGGGAGCAAACAGGAUUAGAUACCCCGGUAAUCCCUGAGCGGGCUGGCAAGGCGCAU
rnacentral:rRNA from 1 species